rnacentral:misc_RNA from 1 species
CCAAUAGCGUAUAUUAAAGUUGUUGCAGUUAAAAAGCUCGUAGUUGAACCUCGGGGUCUACCCAUUGGUCAGGCUUAAUUGUCUGCACUGGUGAGAUGGAUCUCUACCUUCUGAGGAACUUUCAUGCCAUUUAUUUGGUGUGAUGGGAAAUCAGGACUGUUACUUUGAAAAAAUUAGAUUGUUUAAAGCAGGCUUACGCUUGAAUACAUUAGCAUGGAAUAAUGAAAUAGGACGUUUGAUUCUAUUUUGUUGGUUUCUAGGAUUGACGUAAUGAUUAAUAGGGAUAGUUGGGGGCAUUAGUAUUCAAUUGUCAGAGGUGAAAUUCUUGGAUUUAUUGAAGACUAACUACUGCGAAAGCAUUUGCCAAGGAUGUUUUCAUUAAUCAAGAACGAAAGUUAGGGGAUCGAAGACGAUCAGAUACCGUCGUAGUCUUAACCAUAAACUAUGCCGACUAGGGAUCGGAUGAUGUUAAUUUUUUAAUGACUCAUUCGGCGCCUUACG